CACGCCGUAAACGCUGAGAACUACGUGUUGGGGUGAAACCCAGCGCUGAAGCUAACGCAUUAAGUUCUCCGCCUGAGGAGUACGGUCGCAAGACUGAAACUUAAAGGAAUUGACGGGGGCCCGCACAAGCAGUGGAGCAUGUGGUUUAAUUCGAAGCUACGCGAAGAACCGUACCAGGGCUUGACAUAGUUCUAAGACUCUAGAAAUAGAGGGAUAUACAGAACAUACAGGUGG
rnacentral:rRNA from 1 species